UUAGGUAUAAAAAAAUCCUGAUCUCACACUCACUCACACACACUCUCUCAAAGACACACACACUCUCUCAAACACACAUACACACACUCUCUCAAACACACACACACACACACUCUCUCAAACACACACACACACUCUCUCAAACACACACACUCUCACACACACUCACACACUCUCACACACACUCAGCACACACACACUCGGUUCUGAACACGCCUGUGACACGCGAGUCAUGUUUACACUGCAGACGUGUUAUUUAGGUGAAUGUACACAGACGUCUAAUGCGUGAUCAUGAUUACAGCUGUAUGCUGUGCUGGUCUGAGCUCCGGUGGAUCAGAGCCACGUCAUUCUGUCUGCACUGCAUCUCUACACGAGCUUUAAUUAGCAUACCCCUGAUGAACUGACGAGGUUUACGUUAUAGUUUUUCUAUUAUAAUGUUGUAGACGGGAUGUAAGAUGGAUAUUUUGGCAGAUAUCUCAUCUUUUUGAAUGAGCAGCUGAAGUAGUAAAGCAUAGACAUUUCAAAAUAAGAGUAUCUAUAACAGCAAAGUCCAGUAUCUCCAUGCGUGUUGAUAUGAGAACGUGACACAGAUUUGAAUAAAACCUCUUGAGUAUUUAAACUCGCAGUUCUCCUGUUUUGCAGUUGAGUGUCAGGAAAUACUUUGAGUCUCUCAAGGUCUUGAGUUAGGUUUGAAAAGCCUGGCACUGGUGUGUGUGUGUGUGUGUCUGAUCAGAGUCUGAAGAAGAGGAGGUUGAGGAGGAGCAGGUGGAGACUCGGGCUUCCCCUGAACCGGCCCCGGACCGUCCCAGCAGCACCACCUACUACGAGCCGCCGGCGCCGCCUGUCAGUAACGGAGUCGAGGAGCAGCAGGAGGAGGCGGAGCCUGAGGCGGAGCCAGAGCCCCACGCACGCACUCACUCACUCUCACGCACACACUCACUCACUCUCACGCACACACUCGCACACGCUCACGCUCACUCGCGCUCACGCACACACUCACUCACUCUCACGAAC
rnacentral:lncRNA from 1 species